rnacentral:tRNA from 1 species
AGGAGAAUGAACAGACGGGCCGCAAAGCUGGUUUGGGACCAGAGGGUCGGGAGUUCGAAUCUCUCCACUCCGACCA